CGGUGGAGCAUGUGGUUUAAUUCGAUGAUACGCGAGGAACCUUACCUGGGCUCGAACGUAAGAUGACUGUAGGUGAAAGCUUACAUCUCUUCGGAGCAUUUUACGAGGUGCUGCAUGGUUGUCGUCAGCUCGUGCCGUGAGGUGUCGGGUUAAGUCCCAUAACGAGCGCAACCCUACCUUUAGUUGCCAUCAGGUAAUGCUGGGGACUCUAAAGGAACUGCCUACGCAAGUAGUGAGGAAGGCGGGGAUGACGUCAAAUCAGCACGGCCCUUACGUCCAGGGCUACACACGUGCUACAAUGGCCGAUACAGAGGGCAGCUACCUGGUGACAGGAUGCAAAUCUCCAAAGUCGGUCUCAGUUCGGAUCGGAGUCUGCAACCCGACUCCGUGAAGUUGGAUUCGCUAGUAAUCGCGCAUCAGCCAUGGCGCGGUGAAUACGUUCCCGGGCCUU
rnacentral:rRNA from 1 species